GCCCGCACCUUUGGACCGAGGAACCUCGCCCACGAGUCCUAAUAAAGGCUAUUCUCACCGCCAUUUGCCUUGUGUCUUCGUUCCCGGUUCGGCUCCAGCCUCAGUUUACCUUUACAUUUGGUGCCGAAACCCAGGAGGAGACCCCCUCCCCGGACCCCUGCCAGGUCGGGUAGGCUCUCCUCUUCCCGAGCCAGGACCUCCUUUCCAAGCCAGGAGCCAUUUCACUAAAUCCAAGACUCAAUUUGUUCACUGCUGGAUGGGCCACUGGAAGUCGGACUGCCCCAACCUGAGGACGGUCGCUACGUCUCCAGGUGACGACCCUCCUCCAGGUACUGGAGGCGCCUUCCAACUCCUCGACACCGACGAAGAUUGAAGAGGCCCAGACUCGGGAACCCCUCUUACUCUCACCGAGCCCAGGGUUAUGCUCCAGGUAGCGGCUCCCUGUGUCCUCCGCUUCAUCCAGGACUGCAUGAAAGAAGUCUCCCAUGUCACUUUCAAUCAGAUGCUGCUCCACACCUAUACCCGAGUUCCGACCUCCGAAGAACCCCACGAGGACCCAUACCAGCAGGAAGCAGCCAGAGGAACACGUCGCCCCAUUUUCUUAUUAGAAAGAGGUCGGAAUGUUGGGUCUAGGAAUCUACACCCAACAUGGCGGCGUUACCCAGCGUAGCAGGCCUUUUGUUAAAGACUCCCUUCACCCUUGUACACACCCGCAGACUUACAUGCGUCAGAGUUCCGGCUGGGCAACCACACUCCCCCAUGACCUGCAGUUCACCUGCAUUCCACAAGUUCGUAAACAGCAGUUUCGGUUAACAGUUUCCAAAGACCCCUUCCUCAUGACCCUUACUCGACUCCUGCCCUAGUAGUUUCAAGAGCCCCCCAGGCCCUGCUUGUACAACCAGCUUCCCUACCUCUCGGGCUGUAAAAAGCCCCUACCCUCCUCCCUCAGCGUGACUUCCUCGGCCCGCACCUUUGGACCGAGGAACCUCGCCUGCGAGUCCUAGUAAAGGCUAUUCUCACUGCCA